AGGAUCAUUACCGAGUUUUACACUCCAAACCCCUGUGAAAUACCACUUGUUGCCUCCGCGGAUCAGCCCGCUCCCGGUAAAACGGGACGGCCCGCCAGAAGACCCCUAAACUCUGUUUCUAUAUGUGACUUCUGAGUAAAACCAUAAAUAAAUCAAAACUUUCUACAACGGAUCUCUUGGUGCUGGCGUCGAUGAAGAACGCAGCAAAAUGCUAUAAGUAAUGUGGAUUGCUGAAUUCAUUGAAUCAUCAAAUCUUUGAACGCACAUUGCGCCCGCCAGUAUUCUGGCGGGCAUGCCUGUUGUACCGUCAUUUCAACCCUCAAGCAGAGCUUGGUGUUGGGACUCGCGAUAAUUCGCGUCCCCCAAAUUGAUUGGCGGUCACGUCGAGCUUCCGUAGCGUACUACUAAAACCCUCGCUACUGGUAAUCGUCGCGUCCCGCCGUUAAACCCCACUUCUCAUGUUGACCUCGGACACGUAUGAAUCCAGCUGAACUUAGCAUAUCACAAGCGGAGGAAAGCAUAUCAUAAGCGG
rnacentral:rRNA from 1 species